rnacentral:tRNA from 2 species
GGGGGUGUGGUGUAAUGGAUAGCACUGGGGGUUUCGAACCCCUAAAUCCCGGUUCAAUUCCGGGCACCUUCA